UCUCCAGUGGCUCAGCAGGUAAAGAACCCGCCUGCAAUGCGGGAGACCUGGGUUCAAUCCCUGGGUUGGGAA
rnacentral:tRNA from 1 species